rnacentral:tRNA from 1 species
GCCGAGGUAGCUCAGUUGGUAGAGCAGGGGACUGAAAAUCCCCGUGUGGGCAGUUCAAUCCUGUCCCUCGGCACCA